AAUGAACGUUGGCGGCAUGGAUUAGGCAUGCAAGUCGAGCGCGAACCGUAGCAAUACGGGGAAAGCGGCGAAAGGGAGAGUAAUGUGUGGAUAUCUACCUCCAGGCCUGGGACAACUACGGGAAACUGUAGCUAAUACCAGAUAAUGUCUGCGGACCAAAGGUGUGAUUCCUCCGGGAGAUGAGUCCACAUCCUAUUAGCUAGUUGGUAGGGUAAUGGCCUACCAAGGCAAUGAUGGGUAGCAGGUGUGAGAGCACGACCUGCCUCAUUGGGACUGAGACACUGCCCAGACACCUACGGGUGGCAG
rnacentral:rRNA from 1 species